CCGAUUAUUCACAUUAACCCUCUGUGACAUAGAUUAAAAACCUGGCGUUGGGUGACAGUCCGAAGGAUCACAUCAGGGGGCCAAUGACAAUCUACGUUUUGCGUUCCCUAGCACUGUAUCCUCUCUGGGGUCGAGGAAGUGUGAUGGCCGAGGGUUCCGAGCCCACACACAGCUGACUUUGAGUUCGGAUCCUGGCCCUCAGUAAUGGAGUGACGUAGUAACUUCUGGGAAGUUACUCACUCUUUCCAACUAAGCCAUGGUCUUCUCGUCUGUGAAAGGGAAUAACAUAAUGGUUGCUGCAUUUGCCUCCUCUAAAGGUGGUGAAUCCAGCCAGCUUCCAAGGACUCGGGAGGCUCAGAUGUGAUGCCUGCAACUCCUUCCCUUAGUUGUGUUUCGCAGCCCGAGGCUGCACUUGACCGCAGCCUGGUCCUGGUCUCUCAGGGGGACCUAGUGAGAGCCCCCAAGCCUUGGCUUUCUCCUCUUCUGGAAGAUCAGCUCGAAGACCGCACAACACUAACGUGGCAUUUGAAUAACACUUUUCCAAUUUUUGUUACACCCUCGACCAUUAUUUAGUCGACAUUUUCUUUGAGUGCCUUCCUUUUAUGAUUAAAAACUUUUUUCAAUCGUUGUGUGAGCCAGGAGAGGAUGGGCUUUGCUGAAAUAAUAAACCCUGGUAUCUCAA